UACGUAGGGGGCAAGCGUUGUCCGGAUUUAUUGGGCGUAAAGAGCGUGUAGGCGGCCAGGGAGGUCCGUUGUGAAAACUCGAGGCUCAACCUCGAGACGCCGAUGGAAACCCCCUGGCUAGAGUCCGGAAGAGGAGAAUGGAAUUCCUGGUGUAGCGGUGAAAUGCGCAGAUAUCAGGAGGAACACCAGUGGCGAAGGCGGUGAUCUGGGCCGAUACUGACGCUGUAGAGCGAAAGCGUGGGGAGCGAACAGG
rnacentral:rRNA from 1 species